rnacentral:rRNA from 1 species
UACGAAGGGUGCAAGCGUUAAUCGGAAUUACUGGGCGUAAAGCGUGCGCAGGCGGUUUUGUAAGUCUGUCGUGAAAGCCCCGGGCUCAACCUGGGAAUUGCGAUGGAGACUGCAAGGCUAGAAUCUGGCAGAGGGGGUAGAAUUCCGCGUGUAGCAGUGAAAUGCGUAGAUAUGCGGAGGAACACCGAUGGCGAAGGCAAUCCCCUGGGCCUGCACUGACGCUCAUGCACGAAAGCGUGGGGAGCAAACAGG